GGGAGGCAGCAGUGGGGAAUUUUGGACAAUGGACGCAAGCCUGAUCCAGCCAUUCCGCGUGCAGGAUGAAGGCCUUCGGGUUGUAAACUGCUUUUGUACGGAACGAAAAGGUUUGUCUUAAUACCAUGAGCUCAUGACGGUACCGGAAGAAUAAGCACCGGCUAACUACGUGCCAGCAGCCG
rnacentral:rRNA from 1 species